CUGACCUGAAGGCAGAGGCUUAACCUACUGAGCCACCCAGGUGCUGGGCUCCACCCAAAAUGCCUGUUGUACUAACCUCCUCACAAUAAAAUCUAAACCCUCUGUUGAAA